AACGAACGCUGGCGGCAUGCCUAACACAUGCAAGUCGAACGAGACCUUCGGGUCUAGUGGCGCACGGGUGCGUAACGCGUGGGAACCUGCCCUUAGGUUCGGAAUAACUCCCCGAAAGGGGUGCUAAUACCGGAUAAUGUCUUCGGACCAAAGAUUUAUCGCCUUUGGAUGGGCCCGCGUUGGAUUAGCUAGUUGGUAGGGUAAAAGCCUGCCAAGGCGACGAUCCAUAGCUGGUCUGAGAGGAUGAUCAGCCACACUGGGACUGAGACACGGCCCAGACUCCUACGGGAGGCAGCAGUGGGGAAUAUUGGACAAUGGGCGAAAGCCUGAUCCAGCAAUGCCGCGUGAGUGAUGAAGGCCUUAGGGUUGUAAAGCUCUUUUACCCGGGAUGAUAAUGACAGUACCGGGAGAAUAAACUCCGGCUAACUCCGUG
rnacentral:rRNA from 1 species